rnacentral:rRNA from 1 species
GAUGAACGCUGGCGGCGUGCCUAAUACAUGCAAGUCGAGCGAACAGACGAGGAGCUUGCUCCUCUGACGUUAGCGGCGGACGGGUGAGUAACACGUGGAUAACCUACCUAUAAGACUGGGAUAACUUCGGGAAACCGGAGCUAAUACCGGAUAAUAUAUUGAACCGCAUGGUUCAAUAGUGAAAGACGGUUUUGCUGUCACUUAUAGAUGGAUCCGCGCCGCAUUAGCUAGUUGGUAAGGUAACGGCUUACCAAGGCAACGAUGCGUAGCCGGCCGGAGAGGGUGAGCGGCCACACGGGAACUGAGGCACGGUCGAGACUCCUACGGGAGGCAGCAGUAGGGAAUCUUCCGCGAUGGGCGAAAGCCUGACGGAGCAACGCCGCGUGAGUGAUGAAGGUCUUCGGAUCGUAAAACUCUGUUAUUAGGGAAGAACAAAUGUGUAAGUAACUAUGCACGUCUUGACGGUACCUAAUCAGAAAGCCACGGCUAACUACGUG